GAGGGUAGAAUAACAUGGAAAGCAGCUUUUAUUCACUCCAAGGACAACUAACUCACAUACAACGAAGGGCAGAAUAAGUCUCUCGAAGUUUUGACGCUCUAAAAUGCUGUUACUUUGCCUAAAAUGGAAGUAUGGAGGAGGAAGAAUAAAAAUUGUAAGACAUUUCCAGAGUUUUCACCUGGCAAAACGUUCAUGAUUUAAAUGUCAAAAGAGGCAGACUCCAAAUAAAAUGCUGAACAAACAAUUUUGAGGACUUAGACCUUUCUUUUCUGCCAUUACUACUUCUCAAGCUGCUUCUGAUUCCCAGAGAAUGGGAUGGAAAAAUGAGAUGCUGCAGUUUCACUCCGGUAGGAUUCAGUCUCAAACUGCAGAGGUACUUGGUAAGCUGGUAUUUAUUUUACAUUUGUUCUGGGAUUCUUUCAGACAGAGUGGAUGUUUGCACUGGACUCAUUGACUUUUUCCCCACCACUUACAUUGUCAUUCUAUGCUAUUCAGUUGUAUUUUAUAAUUGGGUAGUUGCAGUGAUGAGAAAGAAAAGUAUGAGAAAUGAUGUUCAGGUGGGCUGCAGUACUCUGUCUGUAGGCAAUCAUUGUGAAGCAGGAAAGAAGGGGAUGGGAAUAGCUGGAGACAAUUGGCUUAAGGGGAAAUAG
rnacentral:lncRNA from 1 species